rnacentral:misc_RNA from 1 species
UUUCCGUAGGUGAACCUGCGGAAGGAUCAUUAACGAAUUGUAAAGGAGGUUGAUGCUGGUAGCCUUCUCGGCUGCAUGUGCUCGCUUCCGACAAUCCUUAUCCAUACACCUGUGCACCUUUUGAGGGUUUUCCGAGAGAUCGGAUUAUCCUCUUUAUCAUAAACUCCGUAAUAAUUCUGAACGUGAUUGUGCCAUUAUGGCCUUAAACAAAUACAACUUUUAACAACGGAUCUCUUGGCUCUCGCAUCGAUGAAGAACGCAGC